AUAAAAGCUACCCAGAGCAAAGACAUGGUGCUCAGAUUCUGGGGACACCUCCUCUGAGCCACACCCAUGCUGAAUAAACCUUGCUGAAUAAAUAUUCCACAUCUCCGAGUGCCACUUGUCUCUUUUUGCUGCCACAGUUUCUGCAACAUUUUCUCCAUGAAGUUGGUCCUGCCCAUCGGUAACAAGAAUCAGAGAAUGAGCUUGGCCAAUCAGAAGCUGUCUCUUGGGAGUUUGAACAGAAGGAUAAUAAUGAGAGAAGCAUCAUCACUAAGCACCAAGAGAAGAAGCAGAGGAAGACAAUAUCUUUAUGGCAGUAUCAUGUAGACUGUUCUGGGCCUGAGAAAGUGAAGAGCGUCACCACCUAAAAAGCAAAGUAAAUUAAUUCCACGGUGUUAAAACUAAUUACAAGUAAACCCGAGAGAGCCAACGAUGGGAAUAAUGUGAAAUCCAGGAUUUGUUUCAGGAAGGGUCCACGGCGGAGAGGAGCCAGCAGCAAGGGUGGAAAUAAAAAGUAGAGCCCAAUCUGGACUGUCGGAAGUGUAAGACUCAUCCUAAACUGAAGAAGGAGCCAACAAACGUUGAAAGAAGACAGAGUGGGGCACGAGCCUGGGGAUGCUAGCUGGAUCCUCUGGAGGACAGCCCGGAGAUGCAGGGACCAGACACAAGCCCGCACAUCUGGAAGUCACUGCAGUGAUGUGAUCUAGAACAGAGGCUAAGAGCUUGGAGAGGAGUGACAGAGGCCAAGGUCAGGAGCCCCAACUGCAAGAGAGAGAAGCAAAGGAGAGAUAAUGGCCCCAGGGGCGGCACAGAAAAGAGGCGGCAAUGACCGGGGAAGGGUAUUUUGAUUUCUGUCUCCCAGCAACACCCAGGGGACUGUUCCAGAGAAUGAACUGAGGUGAGUAAGUUAUGUGGUUCAGGAGUUGCAAAAGUGGUCCAUGCCUGGUGGUGCUGGCAUAGACGUUGAGGGAGUAGAGAAAUCUCCCUGGGCAUCACAGCAUGGACGUGGGGCAAACAGCAUCCAAGGAGUCAACACAAACAUCUAUAUAUUUUUUUAAUUUUUUUGUCUUUUUCAGGCCACUCUUGCAGCAUAUGGAAGUUCCCAGGCUAAGGAUCAAAUCAAAGCUGCAGCUGCCUGCCGACACCACAGCCACAGCAACACCAGAUCCAAGUGUCGUCUGCGACCUACACCACAGCUCAUGGCAACACCGGAUCCUUAACCCACUGAGCGAGGCCACAGAUCAAACCUGCAUCGUCAUGGAUACUAGACGGGCUUGUUACCGCUGAGUCACAAUAGAGCCUCCCAAACAUCCUUAUCUUGGUCACCAGCAGCCAGUCACUUUCAACCAUAGAACUGACCCCUUGGUGGAAGACGGAUGGUUUGCCAACUUCAUAUAAGAGACAUCACUACUGGAGUUCCCUGGUGGCCUAGUGGGUUAAGGAUCCAACGUUGUCACUGUGGUGGCAUGUGUUUGAUCCCUGGCCCAGGAACUUCUGCAUGCUGUGGGGGCAGCCAAAUGAGAAAAAAAACAAAAAAAGGAACCAUCACUGUCAUUCUAUGAUAGUGCCUCCGUAUUCCGUUGAAAAGAGAGGCAUACAGCUAGUGUAUUCCAAAGAGAUUCAUUACUAGUGGUUUUAAAACACAAUAAAAAUUACACAAAAAUGGAGGCUGCUGACACUGAGCUUUGUAAUAAUAAUGCUAGGGAGAGGAGUUCCCCAUCAUGGCUCAGCGGUUAAGGAAUCUGACUAGCAUCCAUGAGGACGCGGGUUUGAUCCCUGGCCUCACUCGGUGGGAUAAGGAUCCAGUGUUGCCAUGAGCUAUGGUGCAGAUUGCAGAUGUGGCUCGGAUCUGGUGAUGCUGUGGCUAUGGCAUAGGCUGGCAGCUGCAGCUCCAGUUCGACCCCUCGCCUGAGAACCUCCAUAUGCCACAAAUGUGGCCCUAAAAAGCAAUAGUAAUGAUAAUAAUGAUAGGUACAGAGUCUUAGCUGAGGGGUUGGUGUUCUUGAAUUUCGACUCUGUGAUCCAUGCAGAAGGAUGUGCGUACAGCCUAUAAAGUUAUCUGCUGAGGAAAUGUUAUGCUAAAUAUCCUUAUUUUCUGAAUAUCCUCUUCUCAUCUCCAGGGUGCAAUAAGACGGGAAUCAUCAGGUAUCUUUGGACAUCAUCUCUGAGUUGGAAACAUUGGGGUAUUGCAGAAAAUUGAAUGAAUUCAUUGAAGGAAAAAUUACUUUAGUUCUUAUAUAUUGUCCAACCAGGACAAGUGUACUCAAAAUAAAACAACAUUUCUUUCAGCGGCUGCCACAAGAAGCCACUUUUUUAAAAAGGCUGACAUCCUCAUAACAGAAACAAGUUUGAUUUUUAAGGGUAAAAAAAGAUGAAUUGAAAGGAAUAAUUUUUAUCGUUCAACAGAUCGGCCCCCAGUCCUCCCCUGCCUGUCAUCAUUUCUGGGUGUUUUCUCCACGGGGUGGAUGGUCUGUGGCCAAAUUUUAACCACUUGAGGUCUUUCCCCUGGCCACCCCACGCAGGGGGGCAAGCACAAGUCCAGCUUCCUGUGGACAGAUGGGCACGGCCGAGGAUUAGAAGUCAGACAGGGCCACCGUGCCAUGUGGGCGGGGUGGGGGGUGGGAUUGGAGGGGAGGCGUGCGCCCAGGUCCCUUGUAAAUCACCAUCUCUUGUUAGACAGCACGCAUCUUUCCUAAUGGAAUGGGCUACUAUGACCUAUCAGAGAUGCUGUAAAUAUGUAUGACAUCAUUCACCUUGAAUUUCAAAUACGCUUAUAGGACAAAAAUAGAUGUAUUUUCCUCAUUAUUCAUUCAAAUAUAUUCUAGUCCAUCUGUUUGAUAGUGAAUUUCUUACCCUCUCUUUGCUGUGGCUCAUUCUGCCUCCCUGAGUGUUUCUUAUCCCUCCUCCUGAAAGGACCCAGAAGAGCCUGGGAUCGAGGCUGUGGAAGGUGGAGGAGUCUGCUGAGCUUGAAGACAAGCACAGACCACUGUCUUCUUUCCAAGUCACCAGGAGGUCUGGAUCUCAAGCCACCAGAUCCCCAGUGACCCAGACUCCCAGAUCCUGUAUCCUACACCACCUGGGUCCUUGCGCCACAGUGGACCACCCAGCACGGAUGUUGGAAAGUUGGAGAUCGUGAGAGGCAUAAUCAUUAACCUGGACGGAAUGUUUGGAGGUUCCCGAGUUGAAGCAACUCAGGUGGAACCACGAGAGCUGUCAGAGGAGAAGGGACUCAUUGGGAAGGGCUGAGCUGACCCUGGCACCAGGCAGACUCAGGAUGGGCGAGGGUGUCUGGCCACUGCUGGGGCAGAACUGCUAUAAACAAGCUGUGCCUGUCAUGUCUUCUCUUUAGCUUGUCCAGAUAACGACGCCUAAUGUUUCACCUUGACCGUCUGCAGCACAUUGACAAGAAGCCUGCUGAGGAGCUAGUAUUUAUUAUUUCAAUGAGUGAUGGCAUAAUAACAUUAUAGUUUUGUUCAUUGUCUCUGUAUGAAAAGUGAGGGGAAAUGAGGAUGGGAAGGCUUGUCACUUCCAGAUGACACAAGGACAGGCUGGAGUACAGGCUCAGCUUUUCUCCACGAUGCACCCAGGAGGCUCAGCCUAUGCUCCAGAAAAGACCUUCCCAGAGAGUGGGUCAAGUUCGUCACUUGCCCUUGUCCCAUCCCCUACGCUUGACAGAGCUCAGUACAUAGUACCCAGCAAAUUGCAAUUGGUAUGAAAGCAGCACCUCGCCUGGCACAUGAGGUCAAGUCCAAGGAUGCCAGAAGGGAUCUUGUCUUCAGUGUCUCCAAAAUGCCAAAGGGAAACAGACAACACGGAGAAGCCAGGUUUCUUUAAUGGGCUUGCCCUUUCUCUGUCGUUCUUCAUCUCGCUCUGCAACCAGCAAGCGCCUCUGCAGAUGCCUGCCUCCUCCAACUGAGCCCCUGGAAAGGCUUGCUCUGCAGCCUGGCCAGCGUGCCGCCUAUCUUCUCUUCUCCCUCAUGUUCUAGCAGAAACUGCAGGUUCUCUUCCCAACAGACACAGGCUUUCUUUCAAAACCCUGUUUUCUCUAUGCUCCAGGCUAUGAAUACACACAUGCACACACACACACAAAAACACACACACACAAACACACACACAAACACGCACACACAGUAACCAAGUUAGAAAGAAGAAAACCAUAGUUUCAGCAAGAAUUUUCUCGUUUGCCCUGUGCGAAAGGGUGGGGGUCAGAUGCUGUCUCUGGCCUGAAGACAUUCUGUACUUCGUCUCAGGUCCACAGCUACCUCUGGGCUCUCUGCCCUGGGGAACACCGGCAGGGCUCUCAGCCAGAAGGAGCUGCUUUAGGGAGCUAGAGGGGCCCAUUACUGUAUUUGCUUUGUUCUGGUUUUUGUCUUGCAGAAAGGUUUGGUUUUCAUUUAUGGUUUUGUUCAUGUGAAAGAUAUCCUAAUUUUGGAGUUCCCCUCAUGGCGCAGCAGUAAUAAACCUGACUAGUAUCCAUGAGGACGUGGGUUCUAUCCCUGGCCUCACUCAGUGGGUUAAGGAUCCAGCAUUGCCAUGAGCUGUGGUGUAGGUUGCAGAGGUGGCUCAGAUCUGGUGUUGCUAUGGCUGUGGUGUAGGCCCGCAGCUGCAGCUUUGAUUCAACCCUUAGCUUGGGAACUUCCCUAUGCCUCUGGUGCAGCCCUAAAAAUUAAAAAAAAAAAUCUUAAUUUUGAAAGUCUUAUAUUUGCCUGCUGUAGUAUAGCCUACAUGUAUGAAAUAUAGCUUUCUUACUGUUUGCCUUUUAAAUUAUCUCUUUACUGUCCUGCUUUUAUCUUUAUCUUGUUUAUCAUUGUAACAGAUUGAAUUAUGUCCCCACAUCCCCAAAUUCUUAUGUUGAAGUUCUAAACCCCAGUAUGUCAGAAUGGGAUAGUAUUUGCAAAUGGGGUCAUUCUGGAUGGAAUUAGUUAAGAUGAGGUCAGCCCGUAGCAGGGUCAGCCUUAACUCAAAAUGGCAGGUGUCGCUCUAACAAGGGGAAAUUUUGACACAGAGAUACACACAGGGAGAAGGCCAUGUGUACGGGAAGGCUGAGAUCAGGAUGAUGUUUCUAGAAGCCAAAGAAUACCAAAAAUUGCCGGCACCUGGGACAGAGUCUCCCUCACAGCCCCUCAGGAGAAACCUUCCUGCUGACACCUUGAUCUUGGACUUCCAGCCUCCAGAACUGAGAGACAGUAAAUUUCUCUUAAGUCCCAGGAUGUGGAUUUUGUUACAGCAGCAAACUCAUACAAUCAUUCUGACAUAUUUUAUAGUUUUUCCUUUCCCUGUUUACUUUUCUUUACCCGUUUUCAUUAUUCAGUCUUGCCAUUAUCACAUCACUUUUGUUUCUUAAAGUCUGAUUUUAUUAUAUCCAAACAUUUGAAUCUUUUAUUAUUUCAGACUUCAUUUCUCUUGCUCCCUUUCUUUUGUUUAUGUCAUGCUUUGAGGCGGAUGCUGUCUUUGCCUUUGGUCCUCUCCGUAAUUUUCCCGUUGGUUUCACCAACUUUGUCACCACCCACAACGUGAUUUCUUCUCACGUCAUGCUUGGACAAUGUGGCUGCCAUGGUGUGCACCCCACAAAUGCCUGUUGUGCUUGGCACUUUUUUCUCCUUUCUGCUCCCCAAUUUCCCUUAAUGGAUCUUCCAUCACCUUCAAUGCCAAUUCUCUAAGUAUUUUCAGCUUGUUUACCUUGAGACUCUCAAGCCAAAAAAUGUCUCCUAGGACCAUUGUGAUUCUCCUUGCACAGAUUAAACACUUGCUGCUUGGAAUAUGUUGUUUUGGACAUCAUACGUCAUCAAGGCCCUUUUGGAGAGGGAGCCACUUCACGGCCCCCACGCUCAGCAGCCAGUGCCAGGUUUAAUGCUCUACUCUUAAGUCUUGAAUUGGUUUCAGUCCUGGACCCUGAAAAUUAUGUAGCCAGCUCUGUUUGAAGAGGAGCCUUUUCUACAACCUAUACCCUCAUGUCUUUGCUCACUGGAGGCUGAGAUAAUUGCACACACUCUGUGCCCUAUGACAGUAGGUCCACCGGGAAAAGACCGUCCCUAUGAGGCAUGGGCAGGAUGUUGCUGAAUUUCUCGCUUGGUUUUUGUGGAAGGAAGCUGAGGAGAGCCUGUGAUCAGCCUGCCUUGAAAGUGGUACGUUUCCAGUAGGACUGGAAUGCUUCAAUACACAGAAAUAUGUCUUUACAAUCUCCAGUGCCUGGAAGAGAAAAAAGAACCCUGGAGUGCGGUGAUGGGCUGCUGGAUGACAUCUCAGCUCUUGAAGGGGGCUCGAUCCUGGUAAAGAUCCCCGGGUCUGCAGACCUGGUAAACUGCAGGCCCCCAGCUGCCCUGCACACCGUCCGUCACAGUGCCCCUUCCCCUGCGUCUGCCCACAGACCAGGCUGAGCCUCCACCGCCAGUCUGUGGUCCUUCUGGGCUAACUUCCUAAAUCCCUCCCUGAAUGGUGACCCAUCUUGACCCUCUGGUUAGAUCCCUCCCUCUUCUUCUCCCCGGGCCCCUUUGCUCUGUGCCCCAGGCAUAGCUGGACAGACUCCUAGAAACGCGGCUCCGGCUCCUUUCGGGAUCCUCCCAGACUCUCUCUCUGCCCUGCUAGGGCUGUCAGCGCACUUCCCCGGCCCCCACCCUGGAUGUCUUGCCCCUGAACAAAGCCAGCCUCACCCACCCGACAGGGACCCUCGCUGAACAAAGGUCCUGGCCCCAACACAGAUUCCCAGCAUGCCCCAGUAGGUGUCCCUUAUCCAGAAAAGCAGAAGGGAGCUUGUUGAUGUGCAAAAUGUGCUGGCAGCAUCUCCAAAGUCUGAAAGAAGAUUUUUUUUAAAAAAUAAGGCUCUAAGAGUUAUGGGAUUCAUUUUCUUUCUCUUUCUUCCCCCAUAUUUCAUAAAUAUUUUGUUCUUGUUUUAACAAAGAAGAAAAUUGUAUUACACAUGCCAAAUAUUGUAAAGUUCAGCUGGGAAAUAAACUCUUGAAACAAU